UUUCCAGCAGCCGCGGUAAUACGUAGGUGACAAGCGUUAUCCGGAAUUACUGGGCGUAAAGCGCACGCAGGCGGCGCAUUAAGUCUGAUGUGAAAUCUCCCGGCUUAACUGGGAGGGGUCAUUGGAAACUGAUGUGCUUGAGGCGGUGAGAGGGGUGUAGAAUUCCCGGUGUAGUGGUGGAAUGCGUAGAUAUCGGGAGGAAUACCAGUGGCGAAAGCGACACCCUGGCACUAGCCUGACGCUCAUGUGCGAAGGCGUGGGGAGCGAACGGGAUUAGAUACCCUCGUAGUCC
rnacentral:rRNA from 1 species